GAGGCUCCGUGGUGGAGCAUCUGCUUUGCAUGCAGAAGGUGCCAGGUUCAAUCUCUGGUAUCUCCA
rnacentral:tRNA from 1 species